UGUAAAGCGUAGAAGAGGAUAAGUAAAAGGAAUAUUUCUUAUUUAGAGAGAGCUGCCAAGGCUGAAAGUAGCUUAAGGAACAUCCUUUGAAUUGCACCUCUGAGUCUAAUACUAAAAUGUUUUUGAAACAUAGUAAGUAUUGGCGGCACUCUCCGUUAAAAGAGUUAAGAGGAGUAUAAUACCAUACUCAAACAGAGUGGAACCGCGCUAAAAAGCGUCUCUGUG
rnacentral:ncRNA from 1 species